CAGUAGCCGCGGGAAUACAGAGGGUGCGAGCGUUAAUCGGAUUUACUGGGCGUAAAGCGUGUGUAGGUUGUUGUUCAAGUCAGUUGUGAAAUCCCUGGGCUCAACCUGGGAACUGCUUCUGAGACUGAACGACUAGAGUACGGUAGAGGGUGGUGGAAUUUCCGGUGUAGCGGUGAAAUGCGUAGAUAUCGGAAGGAACAUCAAUGGCGAAGGCAGCCACCUGGGCCUGUACUGACACUGAGACACGAAAGCGCGGGGAUCAAACAGGAUUAGAUACCCCAGUAGUCCCUGUCUCUUAUAC
rnacentral:rRNA from 1 species